UGAGGAAUAUUGGUCAAUGGGCUGAGGCCUGAACCAGCCAAGUCGCGUGAGGGAAGACGGUCCUAUGGAUUGUAAACCUCUUUUGUCGGGGAGCAACGACGUCACGAGUGACGGAAGUGAGAGUACCCGAAGAAAAAGCAUCGGCUAACUCCGUGCCAGCAGCCGCGGUAAUACGGAGGAUGCGAGCGUUAUCCGGAUUUAUUGGGUUUAAAGGGUGCGUAGGCGGACUGUUAAGUCAGCGGUAAAAAUUCGGGGUCCAACCCCGUCAUGCCGUUGAAACUGGCGGACUAGAGUGGGCGAGAAGUAUGCGGAAUGCGAGGUGUAGCGGUGAAAUGCAUAGAUAUCACGCAGAACUCCGAUUGCGAAGGCAACAUACCGGCGCCCGACUGACGCUGAGGCACGAAAGCGUGGGGAUCGAACAGGAUUAGAUACC
rnacentral:rRNA from 1 species